rnacentral:rRNA from 1 species
GACGAACGCUGGCGGCGUGCCUAAUACAUGCAAGUCGAACGCACUCUCGUUUAGAUUGAAGGAGCUUGCUCCUGAUUGAUAAACAUUUGAGUGAGUGGCGGACGGGUGAGUAACACGUGGGUAACCUGCCCUAAAGUGGGGGAUAACAUUUGGAAACAGAUGCUAAUACCGCAUAAAACCUAAACACCGCAUGGUGUAGGGUUGAAAGAUGGUUUCGGCUAUCACUUUAGGAUGGACCCGCGGUGCAUUAGUUAGUUGGUGAGGUAAAGGCUCACCAAGACCGUGAUGCAUAGCCGACCUGAGAGGGUAAUCGGCCACACUGGGACUGAGACACGGCCCAGACUCCUACGGGAGGCAGCAGUAGGGAAUCUUCCACAAUGGACGAAAGUCUGAUGGAGCAACGCCGCGUGAGUGAAGAAGGUUUCGGAUCGUAAAACUCUGUUGUUGGAGAAGAAUGUAUCUGAUAGUAACUGAUCAGGUAGUGUACGGUAUCCAACCAGAAAGCCACGG